rnacentral:lncRNA from 1 species
AGGAAGUCCAGUUGCUGUGACAGCAGCCAGGGAAAGAGAUGGGGCCAGAGACCUCCUCGGGCUGAUCAAGGCCAGCAACUCCCUACAGCCCAGGUCAUCACUCCCCAGGCACUUCCAGAGCUGCCUUUGGGGCAGCUCUCUGGCCUGGCGGCGAGGGCAGCGUGGCUGCACGCUUCCUCCUCUCCCUGCAAUCAGUGCCUGCCUCAGCCUGGCUCCCUCAGGUGCUGUAGGUGGAAGGAGGAUUCCCACCUGCCGUUCCCUCCAGCACCGUCUUCCAAGAGCUCUCAGGAAGCAGAGGUCAACUUUGGGGCGCUGGCCUGAGAGCGCCCGCCCACCAAGGCUUUACAGAUCCCCUGGGCAUCCUCUCAUCAUCGAGGCACUCUGUGCAGCCCAUACACAGGCGGACCUGCUGGGAGGCUCGUUAUCACUGUCACUGUGGGGACCCCUCCUUUUGAUGAGUUGAUUACACAAGCAGGAAAUGCCGAAAGAUGAUAAGGGAAGCAGGGGAAGGAGCGGCCGGGAGAGAGAGGCUGCAGCAUUUAUGGACAAAACCGGGAUCCGCAAGGAACAAAGAGACGGGGACAGAAAUGACAAACCUGUGCCCUUCCCCUUCUGUGAGGCUGGGGAACGCCAGAGGACAGCUGACCGGGGGUCACCGGCAGAGCUAAACAGGAAACAAAUUCAGAACUGGGGCUAACAUUCCCAAAAGGCAUGUCCAGGGGCUGAGCACUCCUCCCUCGGCGGCCUGUGGGGCGUCUUUCACUGAGAGUGAAACUUAUAAGCAUGCCGGUGUAGCCCAUAACCUGGGGAGAUCAGGCCCACGGGGCUCUCAGGUGGACGCCAGUUGUGACUGGCUUCAUUGACUGAACUCAUCUCACCUGACGCCGUUCUAAAGGCUAAUUGGAUGUUUAAAAACACGAAGUAACUUCAAAAGCACUACUGAUGGCUUCAUGUACACUUUGGGGGGUGAUUACAUCUUGCCUUGCUUAAAUCCCUAAAAUACCCCAAAUCUCAGCUCUUCCUCUCCAAUUCCUUUUUCCACAGCAUCUGCCCCUGCCUACAGUUCCACUUCCCCCACUUCUGCAGCCUCCCCUCCCACCCUUUAGCCAUGCUGCCUCUAACAGCCUUUUCCAACUUGCACACCUCACUGGCUAGAACAAAUGUUUGGGAAAAGCCAGGUCUGUAGCCCAAAGCAAUCACCAACUAUUGCUCAGGCAUGCCCUGGCAGUGCUUUAAUUUCCGUCACCACUGGCAAAUAAACUAGUGAUCUGCCUAGAGCUGAGCCUGAGGACAGUAACCUUCGCAGAGAGGCUACAAUGUGUCUCUCACUGCCUUCAACUAUUCACAGUCACCUCCUCUUCAACAAGCAAGAUGGACUGUGGCCAAUGGGCACU